rnacentral:rRNA from 1 species
AAACGAGGAGGCUUGCCUCCGAAGUGAGUGAUACCCAGCUUCCAGGAAAAGCCACUAAGCUUCAGCUGCACACGACCGUACCGCAAACCGACACUGGUGCGCGAGAUGAGUAUUCUCAGGCGCUUGAGAGAACUCGGGAGAAGGAACUCGGCAAAUUGACACCGUAACUUCGGAAGAAGGUGUGCCUUUAGUAGGUGAACCCGUACAGGGGGAGCCCAAUGAGGUUGCAAAGAAUCGGUGGCUGCGACUGUUUAAUAAAAACACAGCACUCUGCAAACACGAAAGUGGACGUAUAGGGUGUGACGCCUGCCCGGUGCUGGAAGAUUAAGUGAUGGGGUGCAAGCUCUUGAUCGAAGUCCCAGUAAACGGCGGCCGUAACAAUAACGGUCCUAAGGUAGCGAAAUUCCUUGUCGGGUAAGUUCCGACCUGCACGAAUGGCGUAACGAUGGCCACACUGUCUCCUCCCGAGACUCAGCGAAGUUGAAAUGUUUGUGAUGAUGCAAUCUCCCCGCGGAAAGACGGAAAGACCCCAUGAACCUUUACUGUAGCUUUGUAUUGGACUUUGAACGGAUCUGUGUAGGAUAGGUGGGAGGCUUUGAAGCAGGGUCGCUAGAUCUUGUGGAGCCAACGUUGAAAUACCACCCUGGUGCGUUUGAGGUUCUAACCUAGGCCCGUUAUCCGGGUCGGGGACAGUGCAUGGUAGGCAGUUUGACUGGGGCGGUCUCCUCCCAAAGCGUAACGGAGGAGUUCGAAGGUACGCUAGUUACGGUCGGACAUCGUGACGAUAGUGCAAUGGCAUAAGCGUGCUUAACUGCGAGACUGACAAGUCGAGCAGAUGCGAAAGCAGGACAUAGUGAUCCGGUGGUUCUGUAUGGAAGGGCCAUCGCUCAACGGAUAAAAGGUACUCUGGGGAUAACAGGCUGAUACCGCCCAAGAAUUCAUAUCGACGGCGGUGUUUGGCACCUCGAUGUCGGCUCAUCUCAUCCUGGGGCUGUAGCCGGUCCCAAGGGUAUGGCUGUUCGCCAUUUAAAGAGGUACGUGAGCUGGGUUUAAAACGUCGUGAGACAGUUUGGUCCCUAUCUUCCGUGGGCGCUGCAGAUUUGAGGAAGCCUGCUCCUAGUACGAGAGGACCGGAGUGGACGCACCUCUGGUGUACCUGUUGUCACGCCAGUGGCAUUGCAGGGUAGCUAAGUGCGGAAGAGAUAACCGCUGAAAGCAUCUAAGCGGGAAACUCGUUUCAAGAUGAGAUCUGCCGGGGCCUUGAGCCCCCUGAAGAGUCGUUCUAGACCAGGACGUUGAUAGGCUGGGUGUGGAAGCGCAGUAAUGCGUUAAGCUAACCAGUACUAAUUGCUCGUGCGGCUUGACCCC